rnacentral:lncRNA from 1 species
GUUUAAGAGACAACUAAAAAUUUUAGAAAACAAGACUACUACAUAUCAAAAUGGCUGGGAUGUGAACAUAUUUGAACUCAAAGGACAGUUCAAAAGUCUUCAACACAUUCAUUUGUAUACAAGCAAAAAAUAAGCAUCAGUCUCAAAAAGUCAAAAAACUACAGAAAACAAAAUAAUAAGCCUAAAUUGAGAAAUUAACAUAUUUUAAAACAAAAUCACAAUAGAUAAGCCAAUAAAAACACUAGUUUUCUGAACAGAAAAUGUAUACCCUUAACAAGUCUAGUCAAGUAAAAAGUGGUAGAAUUAAGAGAAGGUAAAUUUCCUAUAACUUAGAAAUGGCAAAGUUAAUAGAAAAGAAAUUGCUAUUAGAAUUUUCUGCUAACAACAGAUGUUUAAAUUUGAACAAAAUAAAAAUAUUUCUUAAAAAGUAUACAUUACCUAAAUUUACUAAAUAAACAUAAAAGGAAGAAUAUAUUUUAAAAACAAUUUUUUUAAUUUAAAG